CACGUAGGGGGCAAGCGUUGUCCGGAUUUAUUGGGCGUAAAGAGCUCGUAGGUGGCUUAGUAAGUCGGGUGUGAAACCUCCAGGCUCAACCUGGAGACGCCACCCGAUACUGCUAUAGCUUGAGUCCGGUAGGGGAGCGUGGAAUUCCUGGUGUAGCGGUGAAAUGCGCAGAUAUCAGGAGGAACACCAGCGGCGAAGGCGGCGCUCUGGGCCGGUACUGACGCUGAGGAGCGAAAGCGUGGGGAGCAAACAGG
rnacentral:rRNA from 1 species